rnacentral:lncRNA from 1 species
AAAGAAUGGAGGCGACUCUCUCUUAGCCAAGCCCUUGAAGUGCAUUGGACAUGUUCAUCCCAGGGGGCCGAGUGAACAGGAGACUGACUGGGCCACCGAGCAACUGAUAGCACCUAGCGAUGGUCCCACUUGGUUGGGAAGGCUCCUCGCCUCUGCAGGCGUGUUUGCACCUCCGCCUCGGGGCCGCAGGAACCUGGACUCAGGGACUAUUUAGACAACACUGAGUUGGAGGAGAAGACUACCAACUGCUCUGGAUUGAUGACACCGUUUGGGCGUAAAAUGGGCAGAAGGAGGAUGGUAGGAAGAAAAGCAGGAGAGAUGUUGCUGCCUCUUCUCAGAGGUAACACGAGCUGCCUAAACCUCUGCUGAGGAGAUAGAAGGCAAGCAUCCUGGGAGAGGAACCCCUUGGGAGAGUUUGAAGGAGACUGAGUGUCAAGGAAACCCGCAAACUACAGCAGAAAGGCAAGAAUGGAUUGUGGCUAGCUGGACACUGGGCCCUCCGCUGGCACUGUGGUCACUGCUGGCCCCAGUGCCACCAAUGCCACAGGACACUGGAUGCCAUAGCCACCAACUCCACCAGAAGGAGUUCCGAUUAUGUUGUUCAGUCUGGAUUUAGAAGUCUCAGCUAGGAAUAGUGGCAGAAGUAAUUGAGAAGCAAGAAGUAUGAGGAUGGACGGGGAGGGAGCAAACCACUUACCCGGUCAUGGACGAUUUGCCAGGAGCUGGGCCUUUAAUCAUCAGUUUUCUAUUAAUUCCUGGAACCAGACCCUCCCUGGCACAAUGGAUGAAGGGGAGAUGGGAGACUAGAAAACAGAAAUUGCUCAAAAAGGAAUUGAGCCCUUUGGAUGGGAAACAGGAACUCCGGUGGAAUGCAGGAGGAAGGAUUGAGCAAGAGAGAAGCAGCUGCCAACCUAUCCGAAUGAAAACAAACACCUUGAACACGACAGUGGACUUGAAAUGUUACUAAACUUUUUGGCAGGUUUCUCCCCACUAACAAGCCCGACGCAGGAAUACAAGAAAAGAAU